AAGCUCGUAGUUGAAUUUCGGGGUUAGUAGGUUGGUCAUGCCUCUGGUAUGUACUGGUCUCACUGAUUCCUCCUUCCUUAUGACCCGUAAUGCCAUUAAUUUGGUGUUGCGGGGAAUUUGGACUGUUACUUUGAAAAAAUUAGAGUGUUUAAAGCAAGCUAACGCUUGAAUACAUUAGCAUGGAAUAAUGAAAUAGGACGUUCGAUCUUAUUUUGUUGGUUUCUUAGGAUUGACGUAAUGAUUAAUAGGGAUAGUUGGG
rnacentral:rRNA from 1 species